rnacentral:rRNA from 1 species
CAGGUGGGACUACCCGCU